GACGAACGCUGGCGGCGUGCCUAACACAUGCAAGUCGAGCGAACGGACGAGAAGCUUGCUUCUCUGAUGUUUGCGGCGGACGGGUGUGUCACACGUGUAUAACCUACCUAUAAGACUGGGAUAACUUCGGGACACCGGAGCUUAUACCGGAUGAUCUUUUGAACCGCAUGGUUCAUAAGUGAAAGUCGGUCUUUCUGUCACUUCUAGCUGGAUCCGCGCUGCAUUGGUUGGUUGGUAAGGUAACGGCUUACCAAGGCAACGAGGCAUAGCCGACCUGAGAGAGUGAUCGGCCACACGGGAACUGAGACAGGGUCCAUACUCCUGCGGGAGGCAGCAGUAGGGAAUCUUCCGCAAUGGGCGAAAGCCUUACGGAGCAACGCGGCGUGAGUGAUGAAGGUCUUCGGAUCGUAAAACUCUGUUAUUAGGGAUGAACAUAUGUGGAAGGAGCUGUGCAGAUCUUGACGGUACCGAAUCAAAAAGCCACGGCUAACUACGUG
rnacentral:rRNA from 1 species